rnacentral:rRNA from 1 species
UACGGAGGGUGCAAGCAUUGAUCGGAAUUACUGGGCGUAAAGGGCGCGUAGGCGGUCGAGAAAGUCAGAUGUGAAAUUCCGGGGCUCAACCCCGGGGCUGCAUUUGAAACUUCUCAACUAGAGGAUGGUUAGGGAAAACGGAAUUCCACGUGUAGCGGUGAAAUGCGUAGAUAUGUGGAAGAACACCAGUGGUGAAGACGGUUUUCUGGGCCAAACCUGACGCUGAGGCGCGAAAGCUAGGGGAGCAAACAGG